rnacentral:rRNA from 1 species
UGAGGAAUAUUGGUCAAUGGACGCAAGUCUGAACCAGCCAUGCCGCGUGAAGGAUGAAGGCCUUCUGGGUUGUAAACUUCUUUUACCUGGGAAGAAACCCCAAUUUUCUAAUUGGGUUGACGGUACCAGAGGAAUAAGCACCGGCUAACUCCGUGCCAGCAGCCGCGGUAAUACGGAGGGUGCAAGCGUUAUCCGGAUUUACUGGGUUUAAAGGGUGUGUAGGCGGGCUUUUAAGUCAGUGGUGAAAUCUCCGGGCUCAACCUGGAAACUGCCAUUGAUACUAUUAGUCUUGAAUUUUGUUGAGGUAGGCGGAAUAAGUCAUGUAGCGGUGAAAUGCAUAGAUAUGACUUAGAACACCAAUUGCGAAGGCAGCUUGCUAAACAAAUAUUGACGCUGAGGCACGAAAGCGUGGGGAUCAAACAGGAUUAGAUACCCCCGUAGUCC